UCAUUUAUUCUGUCUCAAACAGGAAAUUCCAGCCAAGUAAGUGAUGGUGCAGGAGCCGUGCUCCUGAUGAAGAGAAGUGUUGCAAUGCAAAAGGGACUUCCCGUUCUUGGUGUAUUCAGGACAUUUGCGGCAGUUGGUGUUGACCCAGCAAUCAUGGGAAUCGGUCCAGCAGUUGCCAUUCCUGCUGCAGUUAAGGCGGCUGGUUU